GUAUUAAAGGUCCCGCCUGCCCAGUGAUAAUUUUAACGGCCGCGGUAUUCUAACCGUGCAAAGGUAGCGUAAUCACUUGUCUUCUAAAUAAAGACUAGUAUGAAUGGCUAAAUGAGGACAAACCUGUCUCUUAUAACCAAUCCGUGAAACUAAUCUUCCAGUACAAAAGCUGGAAUACUAACAUAAGACGAGAAGACCCUGUGGAGCUUUAAACCCACCACUAACCACCAAGCCUAGUGUGCGGUUUUAAGUUGGGGCGACUUUGGAAUAAAACAAAACUUCCAAGAACAGAACCACAGAUUCCAACCAAGGCUGACAAGCCGAAACCCAUGACCCAGUAAUACUGAUCAACGAACCAAGUUACCCCAGGGAUAACAGCGCUAUCUUCUUCAAGAGUCCCUAUCGACAAGAAGGUUUACGACCUCGAUGUUGGAUCAGGACACCCAAAUGGUGCAGCCGCUAUUAAAGGUUCGUUUGUUCAACGAUUAAUAGUCCUACGUGAUCUGAGUU
rnacentral:rRNA from 1 species